GCUUACGGCCACACCACAUUGAGCAGUGCCCGAUCUCUUCUGAUCUCGGCAGCUAAGCAGGGUCGGGCCUGGUUAAUACUUGGAUGGGAGACCUACUGGGAAUACCAGGUGCUGUAAACU
ensembl:rRNA 5S_rRNA 5S ribosomal RNA